ensembl:lncRNA
CCGGCUCAAUGGCGAUGACAAAAACGGGAGAGACGGUGCAUUUACCAAUAGAAAACGAAGGUUUAUUUCCCUACACCACAUAACUUAACAAAACCGCCAACUUAAACCCCAAAAGGUGUGGACGCCUGCAAGGAGGGCCAAUGAGUAGCGCCCACAACAAGCAAUCAGCUGCUCUUAUAUUCGGCUGGAGCACCGGCCCCAGGUGCUCCAGAUCCAGCUGAUGGCAUCAGCUGAUCACCUUGAGGAAGAAGAUGCUGCUGCUACUGCUGCUGCCUCAGCACUACACUUCCAGACGGUCUGUCCAAAGGCUGCAUCCCACAUGGCCGGUGGAACUACGUGCUCUUUAGCACAGGGGUCCAGGACCUCCUUGUCCCUGUCUGGGAGGGUCCUGAACCCCACGGCCUGGACCCCCUUGGGGGAGGGGGGAAUUAAUUUGGCCUUUUCAAAUUGAAAUAAUAAAUGGAAAGGCAUGGCUUGGACAAUCUCUCCAAAGGCUAAUGCCUCCUUUGCUGUCAUUUAAUAACUGGAGGAGAGACCCUAGCUGCUCCUUCUGGCCCGCAUAUGCAUGGCGCUUAUAGGGAGGCCAACCUCUAGCUGUGAGGUUGGCCUCCCGGGAGAUGCCAAGGCCCGGGUCUCUGCCUCCAGGGCGUACACAAACAAGCGUGUCUUGUUGACUGGAGGAGAGUCCAUAGCUGCUACUUUGGCCCGCAUAUGCAUGGCGCUUAUAGGGAGGCCAACCUCUAGCUGUGAGGUUGGCCUCCCGGGAGAUACCAAGGCCCGGGUCUCUGCCUCCAGGUGGGGGCGGGGACUUGUACAGGGUCAGUGAUGCAUGUUUCUGUUGUAUGUUGUUUCAUGUUUUGUUGGUUUUAAUAAAUCCAGUUUUCUGACUAAA